UUACACUCUGAAAAAUCUAAGGGAAAUAGUGUGUGCUGGGUUGACAUUAAUAAACAUGUUAUGUGCUGAAUCAUAUUUAACAAUUAAUGAUACUAAGGGACAAGUACUCCAUCUCAUCACAAAGUGUAGAUAGGAGUUCUGUAUGGGCAAAACAAAAGCCACAGAACACCAGCAACCUACUUAAUUGCAUCUGCCUUCAUCUGCAGUAGCUUCUAAGAAUUUGAAUUUCUUGCUGUCCUCAGCUGAGCCACAAGCCCCUCUCCUGCUAUAAAUGUUCUUGAAGCCACUGUGCAGCACAGUCUUACCACUGGAAAGGAUCUCAGUCUACUUUCCUUGGUCAGUAGAACCACAACUUUUUCAGUACCUUUCUGAUUAUAUGCGUCUUGGAGAAAGGAUGAGGAAGAAGAGUUGGGAUUAAGUCCAUGUAUUUAAUGUCCAGCAUACCAGCAUCCUCAAAAUACUGCAUCCAUAGACACCUACACAAGCUCAAACUUUUGUAUGAGCAAUUUUCAGAUGUUCACGUGUUAUAUUUGCUAGUUCAGUGCUUUGGUAUGUGACAGUAUGCAUACGUUGUCAUUGGGGGGUUUUUCCAGAAGCACCUGCUAGGCUUUGAAAAUAUAGCUCUACAUAUUCUAUUUUUUCUCUGAAUCUAAUUGUUUCAAUGGAAAGCUAAGAAUGAAUAAGCAGCAUACACCACAGAAAAAUUCUGCUUCUAGUAACAGGUAAAAUAGCAAGUUCACUUAACUUUCCUGUCAAUUCAUUUCUUUAUAGUUUUAUUCCAAAUAUACUUUGUUAUGAUGAUUUAUCUAGUGUUCCAAGAUACUAAUACAUAGCUAGAUUUACAGAAUAUAUUUAGACGGUCAUCAUUUGGAGUAGGGUCCUAUCCAAGUCCCUUUAAAUGAACAGAAAGACUCCUCCUGCUUUCAGUGUGAGCUAGAUCAGGCCUUUAGCACUUUAUUUUUUUAAAGCAACAUUAAGCGUGGCUGUUCAUUGACAUUGUUUCCCAGACACCAGCAAUUGUUCGCUGACCCAGAUAUGAACUUGUAUUUUUUUUCUGUCUCUGUUUAUAGAGUCUCUUUCUCUGUCAUGCUUAUCUACCCUAGUCACAAAGACCUGUUUAACUUGCUGUGAAGUUGUGAUGGACCAAAUUAGAAAGCUUGCACAAAACUGUUUAUAGCUGGGUCUGUCAGUGCUAGUAAAAAAAAAAAAAUAGGCAGAGAAAUAAUAUUUACAUAGACCAGAGCCCUCUAUUUUACUGUUGCUCCCUCCUUGCCAAUAUUCAGCUGCAGGAAAGGAGAUUAUUACUCAAAGAAAGGAGAGGAAAAUGCACUAGAAGAAGCUGACCUAAAUUGCCUCUCUCGUCAACUUAAUACUUCCAUUGGACAAGAAAAGGUGUAAUUCCACAAGGUAUCCGUAAUGGAAUUGUCAAUCAAAAGUGAGCCAGAGGAAAAUGCUGUCUCAGAGUAUAAGAUGGCUUGGGCAGACUCUCAAUACUGCAAUCCUCGGACCCAGUGGCAUCUGCAAAGCUGCUGCAGCAUCUGGAUCCAAAGCCUGCCAAUGGAUCAGUUGCCAUCACUAGUAAAAUGCCAUCCAUAGGCUGAUAUCUGGAUCCUCAAGAAAGUAAAAGAAGAGCAACAAGAUGCGAAAGGCAAGUAGCAGUGAGAUAGGAGGAAUCGUGUUCAGCUUCAAAUUAAAUCUUUCUGCUUAAUUUCAUGGUUUUUCAUGUGAAAUUGUUUCUUUACAUAGUAAGCUCUGACCCACUUUUACUACAUUCCCCCAAAUCCAUGAUAUACUCCUAAUAUGAUUCAAAAACAUUUGAUCAUAGUGCAGUUAAGUAGACACUGUAAUGUGCAUGUGAUUGAAGAAAUGUGCAGUAUUUGUGAGCUGGUUCUGCUUUUCAUGCUAGGGCUUUUCUUAAAUUAAGGGUGAUGUCGUCAAAAAAUAAGAAAAAUAAAAAGGCUAUGAUAAAUGUCCUAAAAAAAGCUUUGGAUGUAUCAUUCCUCCAGAAAAGCAGACUACAUACUUUAGAAGAUUUAAAGGCUUUCCAUAGAUUUUGUGGACACUAAGCUUCAUGAGCAUGUGUAUUAUUAUUAUUAUGUAGUUGUGGAGAACUUGCUGUCAUGCAAUCACUGUGCAAACAAUCUUUGAACAGUAAACACACACUCUUACUUAAAUUUAUGAAUGAUCCUAUAAGGUGGCCAUUUAUUUAAAACGUAAUUACUGUAAAUAUGUUUUGUAAGCAGGAUUCCUUUCUUCAUAGUACGGUUUUAUAAUUAUGCACACACAUAAUGUAUUGGAAAUUCACAGGUAAUUAGUAAUAAAAGACAAUCAUGGUGUGCUGUA